UCUUCACCCCGCCCCUCCCUUGCUUAGUCGCUCGGCUGGCCCGGCUCACCUUCGGGGUGAAGGCUACCAGCGAGCGUUAUAGCAGACGACUUUAAUAAAUGCAGGCGGCAGCAGGAACUCUGGGAACUUGGGUGCCCUUGCCUGGCAGUAAGGGUUGAAUUAUCCGGAUCUGAAAUACUUUACAGAGCCGAGGGGUGAUAGGCUCUGCAAAAGCACUUUUUGCCCCUCUCCUUUAUGCCAAUACUCGCUGACUGUGCACACAAGUCAUAUUCAGUAUUAAAUACAAACCGGUCUGUAAUUCAAUGGCUCUAGCAAGACGCCUCUGAGAGGGCCAGGUGGCGGGUGCAAGUUGCUCAUUAACCCUUUAGAGUCGCAGUUUGCAGAUCUGAGUUAGAUCCCCGGCUUUGAGGUCCUUCAGUUGCCCUCCUCCCCCACCUCCCCCCGCCACUGCGAGAAAAAUGUGCAAAGAGAAGGAAAUUUGCACAUCAAACGAGGGCGUUUAGAAAUUAGAUCAGGGGUGGAGGGAAGAGGGAAAUGACCAUCCGAUAAUCAAACCAUUUAAUGUUGUUCUUUGAAUCAGGGCAAUCGCGGCGGUAGAUGAACUUGAUUAGGCAGACGCGUGAGAUCAAAGUGGCCGGGACCAAAGCGGACAGGGUCCAACGUGCCAGGCCUGACUUCCUCAUUAGUAUAUCACAUCGCAACGCUUCCGAAUGCAGGGUUUGCUCCCAAGUCUUACCUUGCACGGGACCACGCAAUACCCUUUCUAGGGAGAAAAGAAACAACCUUGAGGAGAAGAAGAGCUGAAAGUGAAUUAGAAAGUGAAUUUGACGUCAUUGAAAUUGGUGUGUGGAUAUAAUAAACUCUCUCUUUCUUUUCUUUUUCUUUCAGCACUGCCAAGAGAAGGCCUUUUGUACUCAGGUUAAAUAAGAACAUCCUGCAAGGAGUCUGUUCUUUUAUGCAGCCUAAAGAUCAAGUAAUAAUCAUUGACACUGAUACUGAGCAUGUCGAUUUUGAAGAGACUAGCAUGUUCCUGGUAAUGAAGUGGAGUAUAUAUCCAUAUAUUUCUGUUUUCUGGAUGAGAAGACUAACCUAACUAAGUAGGGAACCUUGAAGAAUCAUGUUCUUCCUAGGAAUUACAAAUCCCCCGAUUCCAUGUCUAACAUAAUUUCUACUGGCCUCUUUGCUUCUCAUGCUUUAGUACCAGUGCUUCUGAAUUUGAAAGUCUUCAUGCAAAUUGCCCAGGUCUGACAGGGCAGCCACUGUUGAGGAAAUGCUGAUCAC
rnacentral:lncRNA from 10 species